AAACAGACAUGAUAAAACAGACAUGAAGAAACAGACAUGAUAAAACAGACAUGAUAAAACAGACAUGAAGAAACAGACAUGAAAAACGGACAGAAAAAACGGACAUGAAAAACGGACAUAAAAAACGGACAUAAAAAUCCUGUCAGCUCAGCAAAAGGGUUCUGUGCAAGGUUUCUGGAACAGCAGCUACGAAAGCGAGGGGCAGGAGAGGUUUGGCCAUGAGAGCACGACAGAAAGUCCCCCAGUGAGAGCUGUUGGCAUGGAGAGUUUUCCAUGGAGAUAAAAUAUAACAAGCUCCCCUUCUCAGAUUCUUCCUCUCUGAUGCAGCAGAUGUGAAUUCACACUUUCUGCCUCAGGAUCAGCACUGUCAGCAGAAAGCUUGUCUUGGCUCGAGUGAGAGCUGCAAUUCCUUCGCCUUUGGCGUGAUGGGAGGCAGAUCAACUGUACAAAAAUCAGCACCGACUUAGAAGUGAUUCAGCACUGGAUGCUUUUUAUUUAAUUACUGAUUACCAGCUGAGACUUGAGAACUGACUAGACACCCAUGGCUUGUCUCAGUUGCAAGGCAUUGUUUGAGUUCCCGUCACAGCCGUCCACACAAGAUCUACAUGAUGAGACCUCACACCACGUUCUCUUCUAGCAGGUUUGUAGAUUAUGGAGAGACCUGUAAUUCAAAGGUCUGUUGACAUAAUGAGAUUAAUGUACGUGCUUUCUUCUUGUCCAUA